GCCUUCGUGGUGUAGUGGUCUGCAUGUUCGACGCGUAACCGAGAGGUCCGUGGUUCGAUUCCCGGCGAAGGCG
rfam:Stegodyphus mimosarum contig122557, whole genome shotgun sequence.